AGCGAACGCUGGCGGCAGGCCUAACACAUGCAAGUCGAACGAACCUUUCGGGCUUAGUGGCGGUCCUGUGAUUACCACGUGGGAACUUGCCCUUAGGUUCGGUAUAACUCAGUGUAACUUGUCUUAAUACCGAAUGUGCUCUUCGCGGGUAAGAUCUAUCGCCUCUUGAGCGGCCUGCGUCUGUUUCGCUAGUUGGUUGAGGUAAUGGCUCAGCACGGCGAGGAUCAGUAGCUGUUCUGUGAGGAGGAUCAGCCACAUUGGAAAUGAGACACGGACUAAACUCGUAGGGGAGGCAGCAGUAGGGAAUAUAGCGGGAGGGAGGAAAGCCUAACGAAGCCGUGCGGCGGAAAUGAGGAAGGUCGUAGGAUUGUAAAAUUCUUUGAGAGGAGGCGAUAAUGACGGUACCGGGAGAAGAAGCCCCGGCUAACUACGUG
rnacentral:rRNA from 1 species